AUUGAACGCUGGCGGCAGGCCUAACACAUGCAAGUCGAACGGUAGCGCAGAGAGCUUGCUCUCGGGUGACGAGUGGCGGACGGGUGAGUAAUGUCUGGGAAACUGCCUGAUGGAGGGGGAUAACUACUGGAAACGGUAGCUAAUACCGCAUAACGUCGCAAGACCAAAGAGGGGGACCUUCGGGCCUCUUGCCAUCAGAUGUGCCCAGAUGGGAUUAGCUAGUAGGUGGGGUAACGGCUCACCUAGGCGACGAUCCCUAGCUGGUCUGAGAGGAUGACCAGCCACACUGGAACUGAGACACGGUCCAGACUCCUACGGGAGGCAGCAGUGGGGAAUAUUGCACAAUGGGCGCAAGCCUGAUGCAGCCAUGCCGCGUGUAUGAAGAAGGCCUUCGGGUUGUAAAGUACUUUCAGCGGGGAGGAAGGUGUUGUGGUCAAUAACCUUGUCGAUUGACGUUACCCGCAGAAGAAGCACCGGCUAACUCCGUGCCAGCAGCCGCCGCAGUAA
rnacentral:rRNA from 1 species